UUUACAGGAGCAUUGUGACCCGACCAAGGACAAAAAAGUUCCCAGCCUCCUUCUCUCAGACCUUUCAUGGUUCCUGAUAGUUGGGGAAUGAUCCGCUGUGCUGCUGCUGUAGCAUCAACGAAUACAUAUACUUCAUCAGCCUCCUCCAUUUCUAAUCUUAGUACUCAGUCCAGCAGUUUGAGUUUGAAAGCUGGGUGAAGUCUUGGAGAAGCUGGAGAGCAGCCCGGGUUUCCUGCUGCGUGAAGGCGAAAGCCUAGAGCUGGUUGGAACAAGCCUCUCUACUCUGACUUAGGUUUGCUCUUCUGGAAAGCUGUGAAAGAGAAGCCGUUUGCAAGGUCAUGUAGAGUAUGGCCCCUCCAGAGGGCCCGGCACCAUCCCAGGCAUUUCACACAUCUCACCCCACGGAGUUGUUAUGCAGGGGAUUACCAAGAGGCCAUUUUGACACAACUGUUUUAACACAGAGCUUAAAAAAUAAAUUAUCAGGUAAUGUCAACUGCCCUGUUUUGACCCUCACACCACUCUGGCGUGUCUCCUCAAUUAUCAUUUUUGUUGAAACCUGUUACCUAGUAUGUACUAUUUUUAUUAUCUUUUCUAGCGCCCCUCUUUCCACUCCCUGUCCCUGAACCUAGCCUACCCCACCCCACCACCACUUCAUUCCUCCUUGUUGGUACCAGCUGGCAAAAUCUAUAUUAUUAGAAAAUUUCUUUGAUAAAAUUGACACUAAUAAAAUAUCUGAAAAUCCACUUUUCUCACGCCAAAGGAUAUUUGAUGAAAAUGAAUUAUGGUAACAGUUAUUCAAAAUGUACAAAAGGUUGAAAGAUAAUAUUUUAUUUAUGAUUAAUUCAUAAGAAAAUUAUAGGAGAUUUAUUUCAGAUAUUUGGAAGUAGUUCUGUGUUUGUAUUCCUUUUUCAGGUGCAAAGUCGCAAAAUUCUUCUCUCCAUUCUGAUACAUUUAAGCACUUUUAUGAUGGCUCUCCCCUUUACAUGUUCUGCUUGUAUUCUUGGUCUUUUCAAGACUGAACAAAUAAAAUUCAUUUACCAAUUGUCACACAUCCACUGUUCCACACUGAACUAGAAUUUGCAUUUGUCAAUGUGCAAACUUUGACCAAGUUGUCUAUUUGGCUAUUGCCUCAUUAGUCUCUUAAACUUUAUAUUUAAGGUAAAAAAAUAACAUAUUUGAUGAAGUCCUCACCAUUUGACUUGAGGACACAUGUGGAGAUGGCAUAGUGGUUAAGAAAGAAUACAGGCAAACUGGUUUUGAAUCCUGGCCCCAUCCACUUUCACUGUAAAGUAAUAUUAGGAAAUUCAUUUAACUUCUUUGUGCUGCAACACACUGUGAGGAGUAAGUGAGUUCUAAAGUGCUUAAUAUCUGUGCCAGGUAUUCUUUCAAGUGUUAUAUGCAUGUUAGCAAUUAUUUUUACUAAUUUAAAAUUGGGUGCAUUUUCUGUUUAGAUGAACAUUCCACUUAGCAGUAAUAAGCAGUUUUCUUUUUUCCUUACUCAUUUUUGAUGCAACUCUAGGAAUAGAAAUUGUAGUUGUGGAAAGAGGCAGGUUUGGGGCAAAAAGCAGAGUAGGGGCUGGGGAAAGGUAUAGAGGUUGAGCAUGGCUCAGGCAUGAACAACGUACAGGUUUACUGGGUAGUUUUGCAAAAGUGCUAUUAAAAGAGAACAGAAGAGAUGAGGUGAUGUUUCCGUUAUGCAUACAACUCAAUUUUUUUUUUCACUGAAGAUUUUAUUGCUUGAUUUUUCUCCCCAUAGCAAAAUGCUCCAGAGAUAAAAAAAAAAGUUGCACCAGGAAGACUUCAUCAAAAUGUCAUGUGCUUCAUUGUUUAAGCAGCUUGAGAUACGAUUUCACUGAUCUAGGACAAAGGACUCACUUGAGGCAUUUCUUAAACCAUGCAAAUUCUCAGUUUCUAUCCUCCGAUUCACGUUCACCAGGCAGGUCGAAAGAGGAGACCAGAAAUCUGCCUUUUUAAUGAGCAAACCAAAUGAUUCUGAUAUCAGAGAGAUACUACCCUGGGCCGGGCGCAGUGGCUCACCUGUAAUCCCAGCACUUUGGGAGG
rnacentral:lncRNA from 1 species